UACGUAGGGGGCAAGCGUUGUCCGGAUUUACUGGGCGUAAAGAGCGUGUAGGCGGCCAAGCAGGUCCGUUGUGAAAACUGGAGGCUUAACCUCCAGACGUCGACGGAAACCGCGCGGCUAGAGUCCGGAAGAGGAGAGUGGAAUUCCUGGUGUAGCGGUGAAAUGCGCAGAUAUCAGGAAGAACACCAAUGGCGAAGGCAGCUCU
rnacentral:rRNA from 1 species